rnacentral:rRNA from 1 species
AAUAUUGGACAAUGGGGGCAACCCUGAUCCAGCCAUGCCGCGUGUGUGAGGAAGGUCGUCGGAUUGUAAAGCACUUUAAGUUGGGAGGAAGGGCUUUAGGUUAAUACCCUGAAGUUUUGACGUUACCAACAGAAUAAGGCACGGCGAACUCUGUUUAGGCAGCCACGGUAAUACGGAGGGUGCAUGCGUUAAUCGGAAUUACUGGGCGUAAAGCCCGCGUAGGUGGUUCAGUAAGAUGGGUGUGAAAUCCCCGGGCUUAACCUGGGAACUGCUUUCAUAACUGCUGAGCUAGAGUACGGUAGAGGGUAGUGGAAUUUCCUGUGUAGCGGUGAAAUGCGUAGAUAUAGGAAGGAACACCAGUGGCGAAGGCGACUACCUGGACUGAUACUGACACUGAGGUGCGAAAGCGUGGGGAGCAAAC